rnacentral:rRNA from 1 species
UGAGGUAUGCUGGAGGUAUCAGAAGUGCGAAUGCUGACAUAAGUAACGAUAAAGCGGGUGAAAAGCCCGCUCGCCGGAAGACCAAGGGUUCCUGUCCAACGUUAAUCGGGGCAGGGUGAGUCGACCCCUAAGGCGAGGCCGAAAGGCGUAGUCGAUGGGAAACAGGUUAAUAUUCCUGUACUUGGUGUUACUGCGAAGGGGGGACGGAGAAGGCUAUGUUGGCCGGGCGACGGUUGUCCCGGUUUAAGCGUGUAGGCUGGUUUUCCAGGCAAAUCCGGAAAAUCAAGGCUGAGGCGUGAUGACGAGGCACUACGGUGCUGAAGCAACAAAUGCCCUGCUUCCAGGAAAAGCCUCUAAGCAUCAGGUAACAUCAAAUCGUACCCCAAACCGACACAGGUGGUCAGGUAGAGAAUACCAAGGCGCUUGAGAGAACUCGGGUGAAGGAACUAGGCAAAAUGGUGCCGUAACUUCGGGAGAAGG